GACGGAUCGCGGAAGGUUGUCCAGCUGUUGGAAUAGCUGGUUUCUGGUUCAUAGAAGGCGCUUAGGCAAAUCCGGGCGCGGAAUUCAAGGGACUGGGACGGGCACCCAUGUGGUGCGAAGCAAUCGGAAGUGGUUCCAAGAAAAGCCUCUAAGCUUCAGUCAUACGAGACCGUACCGCAAACCGACACAGGUGGGCGAGAUGAGUAUUCUAAGGCGCUUGAGAGAACUCGGGAGAAGGAACUCGGCAAAUUGGUACCGUAACUUCGGGAUAAGGUACGCCCCGGUAGCUUGACCACUUUACUGUGGAAGGGUGAAAGGGUUGCAAUAAACUGGUGGCUGCGACUGUUUAAUAAAAACACAGCACUCUGCAAACACGAAAGUGGA
rnacentral:rRNA from 1 species